rnacentral:rRNA from 1 species
CCUGGCUCAGGAUGAACGCUAGCGGCAGGCCUAAUACAUGCAAGUCGAACGGGAUUGGAGAGCUUGCUUUCCAUGAGAGUGGCGUACGGGUGCGUAACGCGUAUGCAACCUACCUUCAUCAGGGGGAUAGCCCGAAGAAAUUCGGAUUAACACCGCAUAAAAACACAACCUGGCAUCAGGAAAUGUUCAAAUAUUUAUAGGAUGAAGAUGGGCAUGCGUGUCAUUAGCUAGUUGGUGAGGUAACGGCUCACCAAGGCGACGAUGACUAGGGGAUCUGAGAGGAUGACCCCCCACACUGGUACUGAGACACGGACCAGACUCCUACGGGAGGCAGCAGUAAGGAAUAUUGGUCAAUGGAGGCAACUCUGAACCAGCCAUGCCGCGUGCAGGAAGACAGCCCUAUGGGUCGUAAACUGCUUUUAUACGGGAAUAAACCUUGAUUCGUGAAUCAAGCUGAAUGUACCGUAAGAAUAAGGAUCGGCUAACUCCGUGCCAGCAGCCGCGGUAAUACGGAGGAUCCAAGCGUUAUCCGGAUUUAUUGGGUUUAAAGGGAGCGUAGGCGGCCUAUUAAGUCAGGGGUGAAAGACGGUGGCUCAACCAUCGCAGUGCCUUUGAUACUGAUGGGCUUGAAUGUAGUUGAGGUAGGCGGAAUGUGACAAGUAGCGGUGAAAUGCAUAGAUAUGUCACAGAACACCGAUUGCGAAGGCAGCUUACUAAGCUAUGAUUGACGCUGAGGCUCGAAAGCGUGGGGAUCAAACAGGAUUAGAUACCCUGGUAGUCCACGCCCUAAACGAUGAUAACUCGAUGUUGGCGAUAUACAGUCAGCGUCCAAGCGAA